GUGGUGGCACAGAAUCGGAGGCCCCGACUGUUUACCUAAAACACAGCUUUCUGCGACGAAUAAUAUCUUUGUAUAGAAAGCGAAUUUUGCCCAAUGCCAUUAAUAUAAGUAAUUGAAGUUCUGGUCAAUGGCGGUCUUAUCUAUGAGGAUCCUAAGGUAGCAAAAUUAAUUGUCCAUUAAAUGUGGUCCUGACUGAAUAAAGUAACGAUGGUCUCGCUGUCUCUACAAGUAUCUCAGUGAAAUUGAAUUAGCCGUGCAGAUGC
rnacentral:rRNA from 1 species